rnacentral:rRNA from 1 species
CGUAGGGUGCGAGCGUUAAUCGGAAUUACUGGGCGUAAAGCGUGCGCAGGCGGUUUUGUAAGACAGGCGUGAAAUCUCCGGGCUCAACCUGGGAACUGCGCUUGUGACUGCAAGGCUAGAGUACGGCAGAGGGGGGUGGAAUUCCACGUGUAGCAGUGAAAUGCGUAGAGAUGUGGAGGAACACCAAUGGCGAAGGCAGCCCCCUGGGUCGAUACUGACGCUCAUGCACGAAAGCGUGGGUAGCAAACAGGAUUAGAUACCCUGGUAGUCCACGCCCUAAACGAUGUCAACUAGGUGUUGGGUGGGUAAAACCAUUUAGUACCGGAGCUAACGCGUGAAGUUGACCGCCUGGGGAGUACGGCCGCAAGGUUA